UGGGGAGAGGAGAGAAGAGAAGAUGACCAACCAGAGAAGGGGGAAAUGAGAGAAAGGAGAGAAGAAGAGGAGGAGAAUCGCUGGGUUCACCAUGACCCGUGCCCAACACGGCGGAAAUGCAUGAAAUUCAGUGCUUUCUCCGGUCAAAUUCCGACGAAUUCCAACGACCUACUACUUGGGAACUCCUCAUCAAUCAUUCCUCUUCGAUUUCCUAUACAAAUUGGACAAGAUUUGAUCUUGAUUUCUUGGCAAAAGCAUCGGCGGCACCAUGGUGUUCUUGGUGGCAAUCUGCCAUUUCUGCAAUGAUUUCUCUCAAUUGCCACCACAAAUAUACUUCCCUUCAGCCAAGAAACAAUGCCCAAUCAUUGAUUGGAGCAGCGGAGUUGAUUUGAGAACGAAUCAAAGCACCCCCAAACCUAGGGUUCCGGCGGGUUUUCAUGAAAUUGAGGCUUUUCCAGGCCAAAUUGGCCUUGGUCAUAGGCGAAGAUGGUUCGUUAUAUCUUGAUAUGCAUGCUAGGGAAUCGUAGCGCGGACCUCAGGUUUUAUUAGCUAUGCUUUCUUAUCGUCGAAGAUUCGUGGCGAUUCCUAGUUGGAGAUUCUUUCGAGGGUUUUAUUAGCUGUGCUUUCUUAUCAUCGAAGAUUCGUGGCGAUUCCUAGUUGGAGAUUCUUUCGAGGGAUGAAAUUGAUGAAAUCAGUGCUUUGAUCAUUGGUAAAUGCGGGGAAAAAUUAUUUGGUACAAGCUGCAAAAAUUUGGUCUUCAAUUUGACACUAGGGAAUCAACAACAGUUGCCAAAUGAAUUUUUAGACUGAUAGGCCAGAAAAAAACUUUCCACCUUCAAUUCAGCAAGCUCAAAAAUUACAUGAACUCCAAUGAUCUUCUUAUCCACAAUGUCUCUGAAGAUGUGUCCAUGCAACCAACAACACCGCUGCCUCUUUUCAGACAAGUGGCAAUGUCUUCCACUACAGUAUCAUCAUCUACCUCAACCUCAAAUGCAAGUGCCCAAUCAUAUAAAAGAAAGAGGGAAUUAGUCAGUAGAUCAUUUUUAUCGAUGCCAAGAAAAGAAAUUUAAGAAGCUAGUGUCCAAGAUUUUGAUGAAAUUCCUAUCAAGUUAUUGAAAAGGUCUUCUCCAACUGGUUCAGAAAAAAACAUCUCUCCACCAAAAAAAAUAUUAGUAAAGAAGGUUUGAUGCAAGUGCUUCAUGUUUUGCUGAAGAAAAACAAGGCAUAAAAUGCAUGCUUCAUGUUCUGCUCAAGAGAAGCAUGACAUAGUUAUUAUGGAUUUUAAUAAAUCCAGACAAUGUUUCUCUAUAUCUUUUGCCAACUGAACAGUACAACAUGGUCUAAAUGCCUUAAUAUUUUUUGCAUGUGAAUAGCACAAUGUUGCUAAUGUUUUUGGCAUGUAAAUAACACAAUGUUGCCAAUAUAUUUUGAGUGUAAAUAGCACAUAACUCUGUAAUAUUUUUUGAGCAACUAUUGCAGCCAAUGUAAAGCUACAAACCACUAAAUUCAAAUGUCUGGCUGAA